AUUGAACGCUGGCGGCAUGCCUUACACAUGCAAGUCGAACGGCAGCAUAGGAGCUUGCUCCUGAUGGCGAGUGGCGAACGGGUGAGUAAUAUAUCGGAACGUGCCCUAGAGUGGGGGAUAACUAGUCGAAAGAUUAGCUAAUACCGCAUACGAUCUAAGGAUGAAAGUGGGGGAUCGCAAGACCUCAUGCUCGUGGAGCGGCCGAUAUCUGAUUAGCUAGUUGGUGAGGUAAAAGCUCACCAAGGCGACGAUCAGUAGCUGGUCUGAGAGGACGACCAGCCGCACUGGGACUGGGACACGGCCCAGACUCCUACGGGAGGCAGCAGUGGGGAAUUUUGGACAAUGGGGGCAACCCUGAUCCAGCAAUGCCGCGUGAGUGAAGAAGGCCUUCGGGUUGUAAAGCUCUUUUGUCAGGGAAGAAACGGUUUUGGCUAACAUCCAGAACUAAUGACGGUACCUGAAGAGUAAGCACCGGCUAACUACGUGCCAGCAGCCGCCGUAA
rnacentral:rRNA from 1 species